rnacentral:rRNA from 1 species
UACGUAGGGUGCGAGCGUUAAUCGGAAUUACUGGGCGUAAAGUGUGCGCAGGCGGCAACGCAAGUCGAGUGUGAAAGCCCCGGGCUUAACUUGGGAAUUGCGCUCGAAACUACUUUGCUGGAGUGUGGCAGAGGAAGGUGGAAUUCCACGUGUAGCGGUGAAAUGCGUAGAGAUGUGGAGGAACACCAAUGGCGAAGGCAGCCUUCUGGGCCAACACUGACGCUCAUGCACGAAAGCGUGGGGAGCAAACAGG